AUAUAUUUAGUUGACAACAUUUUAAUGAACUUUUCAAUAAUAUUAUUUACACCGUAUUUUAUAUAUAUGAUCCGGAAGAACUUUGCUAGCUUCGGGGUAUGUUGACACAAAAAGAAUGGGGCAAGUUGACACAUGAAGUUCAAACUCGCUACGAGUCGUGGCGCACGUGUUCUACCUAUUUUAGGUUAAGUACGUAUAAUGUUAAGUUCCGCUUAGGACGUGGAGUGAACGUCUUCUAACUUAUUGUUAGAAAAUAAAUGUUUAAUCCUGCGGGGUUGCAUCAUCCCGUAGUGACCGCGUCGGCCCAGUAGGGACCGGGAGCCAAUAUCCACCAACAACAACGUAUACGUGGAAAGUAUUAAAAUGCGAAAUUAUAAAAGAAAAACUAAUCGAUCAAGGACUUCUUCUGACGUAAUGUUAAAAGCUGUCAGAAGUGUAAAAAUAGAAGGCAGGUCCAUAAGAAGUGAUGCAAAAGAUUUUGAUAUUCCUUUUCGCACCUUGACUCGUUAUUGUAAAAAGAUGGAAACAGAUGUAAAAGAUAUUGAUGUUGGAUAUAGUAAAUGCAAAAUGGUAAGUUGCUAUGAAAAUAUUACAAAUAUUUGUCGAUUUACGACGUGCCUGGAAUAGUAUCAUCUUGUCUUGAUUAUGCUGCAUCCCCGGCAAAUAUUAAAGCUGGAUUUCAAGUGACUGGGAUUUGGCCUUACAAUGAAAAUAUUUUUCUACCAAAUGAGUUCUUGCCCGCUUUUGCAACCGAUAGGUUCGCGGCUGCUGUCUUCUUCGUUUAAUUUAACCAAAUUAUAUUUUUUCCGGUCUAGACAACUUACCCCGUAUCAUGUGCCAAUGUACCCCGUUAGCGGGGCAAAUUGACUCACUUGACAGCCUCGACAAUAAAAUGGAUUGCUUCUAUGAAUUUCUUUUCAAACCUUUUAAUAUAUAUAUAUUUCUGUUGUCGAAGGAUUGCACUUUCGAGUUUUACUAAAAAUAGGCACAAAAUACGGUAAACAAAAAAA